GACGAACGCUGGCGGCGUGCUUAACACAUGCAAGUCGAACGGAAAGGCCCUGCUUUUGUGGGGUGCUCGAGUGGCGAACGGGUGAGUAACACGUGAGUAACCUGCCCUUGACUUUGGGAUAACUUCAGGAAACUGGGGCUAAUACCGGAUAGGAGCUCCUGCUGCAUGGUGGGGGUUGGAAAGUUUCGGCGGGUGGGGAUGGACUCGCGGCUUAUCAGCUUGUUGGUGGGGUAGUGGCUUACCAAGGCUUUGACGGGUAGCCGGCCUGAGAGGGUGACCGGCCACAUGGGGACUGAGAGACGGCCCAGACGCGUACGGGAGGCAGCAGUGGGGAAUAUUGCACAAUGGGCGGAAGCCUGAUGCAGCAACGCCGCGUGCGGGAUGACGGCCUUCGGGGUGUAAACCGCUUUCGCCUGUGACGAAGCGUGAGUGACGGUAAUGGGUAAAGAAGCACCGGCUAACUACGUG
rnacentral:rRNA from 1 species